UCUUUCUCGGAGCCUGCACAUGCUGCCUUGACCCAGCUGAUUUAAAACGAAUCAUGAUGCAGCAAUAUGAAGAAUGAAUUGAACCAAACUGAGAUUGAAAUAUCAGAAAACAGACAAUUAAAUCAUAAGCAUGUGGCCAAUGAAACAAGAUGCUGACAUGCAAAUACAGAUGAGUAAGCUGGGCCCCCAUCAUUGGAGCUGUCCUACAUGGUGGUGCAGCAGGACCUACUGGGUUAUUUCAGCUGUGACCUGAUGUACUACUUCCUGUUAAGGCCUGGCCCUUUGCACUAAAGCUUAACAG